rnacentral:rRNA from 1 species
UACAGAGGGUGCAAGCGUUGCUCGGAAUUACUGGGCGUAAAGCGUGUGUAGGCGGUCUUGUCAGUGGGGUGUGAAAGCCCUAGGCUCAACCUAGGAACUGCGCCCCAUACUGCAAGACUUGAGUGUCGGAGAGGAUAGUGGAAUUCCCAGUGUAGAGGUGAAAUUCGUAGAUAUUGGGAGGAACACCAGUGGCGAAGGCGGCUAUCUGGACGAACACUGACGCUGAGACACGAAAGCGUGGGGAGCAAACAGG